CCUACGGGGGGCUGCAGUGAGGAAUAUUGGUCAAUGGACGAGAGUCUGAACCAGUCAAGUAGCGUGAAGGAUGACUGCCCUAUGGGUUGUAAACUUCUUUUAUAAAGGAAUAAAACGAGGCACGUGUGCCUUUUUGCAUGUACUUUAUGAAUAAGGAUCGGCUAACUCCGUGCCAGCAGCCGCGGUAAUACGGAGGAUCCGAGCGUUAUCCGGAUUUAUUGGGUUUAAAGGGAGCGUAGAUGGGUUGUUAAGUCAGUUGUGAAAGUUUGCGGCUCAACCGUAAAAUUGCAAUUGAUACUGGCAGUCGUGAGUACAGUUGAGGUAGGCGGAAUUCGUGGUGUAGCGGUGAAAUGCUUAGAUAUCACGAAGAACCCCGAUUGCGAAGGCAGCUUACUAAACUGUGACUGACAUUGAUGCUCGAAAGUGUGGGUAUCAAACAGGAUUAGAUACCCCAGUAGUC
rnacentral:rRNA from 1 species